GGGUAACCUACCUAUAAGACUGGGAUAACUCCGGGAAACCGGGGCUAAUACCGGAUAACACAUGAAACCGCAUGGUUUCAUGAUGAAAGACGGUUUUGCUGUCACUUAUAGAUGGACCCGCGGCGUAUUAGCUAGUUGGUAAGGUAACGGCUUACCAAGGCAACGAUACGUAGCCGACCUGAGAGGGUGAUCGGCCACACUGGAACUGAGACACGGUCCAG
rnacentral:rRNA from 1 species